AUAGAAAAUGCCACCUGUACGGAAAUACAGGUGGCGAAAUGGGAGAGGAGAAACCGGAGGAAGAGCUUAUGGGGAAACGUAAGCCUUCUCCGCGG
rfam:Bacillus thermozeamaize isolate ZCTH02-B2 BIN02_NODE2310278545, whole genome shotgun sequence.